AAUAUCCCGUCUCUCCCACGAACAUCUUUUAGCUACGCAUUUGAUAGGAACACAUUCACUACAAUGCAAUAAUGUGUAGCGUUUAUUUGCAUUGUUCAUAUACUAUAAAUACUAUAUAUAUUUGCAUUUGCUGCCAUUAGUUAUCCCGGUAACUCUAUUUAACUGUUGGCGGAAUGCGGCAAAAGCCCCAAUCAGUAACAUUGAAAGUUGCCUUUCGUCUGUUUUGUCGCCACUUGGGCGUUCAAUCUAAAGCCAUCCUUUCGUUUCAACUCCUCCACUGGUCUGCAGACUUUACUCGACAAAUAAUGGACUGUAUUUAUAUGAUCAAACAUGUUUUGAUUUCAUUUCAUGUUCAGGCCGAUAUCUGUCUGUUAGCAUUGCAACGUCUUUCGAUGACGAGAAUUUACACAGACCUGUUCUGAAUACCUGAUUGUACUUCAGUAUUUCUGAUGAGAGACUUGCAAUUUAUAUUUAACCAAGAACUUGUUUCGAAAUGCUGCGUUUGCAGAACACGUGUCCGCAACUAGCGAGGUCACAUGGCAAACACCGUUUAAUGGCUGGCUAGCUACCGGGGUUGUAACUAUCAUAAGUUCACUUUUUAUAAUUUUCUCCUUUCAGGAUGCCGAUGACUCGAAUGUGCUGCUUUGAAAUGCAGGACAGAUGCCGGGAAGUCCAGAAGAAUGACACGUCUGCAUUACUUGUGACAUGACUUCAAGGCAUCUGAACAGAAUCUCCACUUGGAGUUCCAUUCUGGAAUAGGAAUGUGGUGCUGAAUACCUGAUUCCAGACCCUUGAGACUGAUGCGCUUUGUGAAAAUCCAGACGUGGGGAUGAAGUUUCCUGAAGGGAUUAACACGGCCUUCACUGGGGUUGGGUGCUGUGGUCCGUGGCAUUGCAGCGUGGACUCCAACAUACUGGUUCUUCUGUAUGUGGCUGAACAGGGAGCCGUGAUGCCAACUAGACUGGUCCUGAUGGUGGUACCAGACUGGUCACUAGAAGAUGCCUGUUACUGAACUACCUCAAGGUCCUGACUGUUGUACCAGACUGGCCACUAGCAGGAAGCUCUUUGCUGUGACAGUGAAUGAAGUUGAUGUCCUUGUGGGUCUGCAGUCUUCAGGAAGGUCUUGACUGUUCCAGCCUGGCCACUGGAGAACUGUUGCUGAACGACCUCAAGGUUUCUGCCCCUCUGGUUGAGGUCCUGGUGUCUGCAGUGUUUGGAAAGAUCUGGUUGGCUGCUGAAGUGUUGCUGUGCUGCUGGAGUGGGAAGCUCUCCUGUUUUACACCGGCAAGACCUCUUACACUCCUGAUUGGUCAGCAAGGAAGUGGGACAUCUGGUUGGAACUGGGGGAAACCAGGCCAAGUCAAUUCAACCCUGUGACUGUUUUGAUGUGUAAAUAAACCUACAAAUGAA